CGGGAUGUAGCUCAGUUGGUAGAGUACGCGUCUGGGGGACGUGUGGUCGCUGGUUCAAGUCCAGUCAUCCCGACAA
rnacentral:tRNA from 5 species